AGAGGAACAGUCAGACACAGGCAACCACAAGUAAACCCUUAAAGAAAAACAAACAAAGCCUCAACUUGGACCAGUGUGCAGGAGAGGCUAAGGCAGGCUGACUUGCAUCAGCUCCUCAUGCCAUUCCUGAACAUCCAGUCUGAAGGCCACUGUUGGGAUCUGAACUAGAUGCUUUUCUCACAAGGUAAAUAGCAGGUGUGAUCCUUGACAUUGACCUUUACUGCUGCAUAGCAGGUGUGACCCUUGACAUUGACCUAUCCUACUGUAUAGCAGGUGUGACCCUUGACAUUGACCUUUACUACUGUAUAGCAGGUGUGACCCUUGACAUUGACCUUUACUACUGUAUAGUAGGUGUGAUCCUUGACAUUGACC